rnacentral:misc_RNA from 1 species
GAUGAAGAACGUAGCGAAAUGCGAUAAGUAGUGUGAAUUGCAGAAUUCAGUGAAUCAUCGAAUCUUUGAACGCACAUUGCGCCCCCUGGUAUUCCGGGGGGCAUGCCUGUCCGAGCGUCAUUGCUGCCCUCAAGCACGGCUUGUGUGUUGGGCCCCCGUCCCCGGUUUCCCCCGGGGACGGGCCCGAAAGGCAGCGGCGGCACCGCGUCCGGUCCUCGAGCGUAUGGGGCUUUGUCACCCGCUCUGUAGGCCCGGCCGGCGCCAGCCGACACCCAACUUUAUUUCUAAGGUUGACCUCGGAUCAGGUAGGGAUACCCGCUGAACUUAAGCAUAUCAAUAAGCGGAGGA